GACGAACGCUGGCGGCGUGCUUAACACAUGCAAGUCGAACGAAGAGCGAUGGAAGCUUGCUUCUAUCAAUCUUAGUGGCGAACGGGUGAGUAACGCGUAAUCAACCUGCCCUUCAGAGGGGGACAACAGUUGGAAACGACUGCUAAUACCGCAUACGAUCUAAUCUCGGCAUCGAGGAUAGAUGAAAGGUGGCCUCUACAUGUAAGCUAUCACUGAAGGAGGGGAUUGCGUCUGAUUAGCUAGUUGGAGGGGUAACGGCCCACCAAGGCGAUGAUCAGUAGCGGGUCGGAGGGGAAGAGGGGCCACUUGGGGCGUGAGACAGGCCCCGGACUCCAGGGGGAGGGAGCGGGGGGUACUCUCCCGCAAUGGAGGAGAGUCGGAGGGAGCACCGCGGGGUGAGGGAUGGCGGCCGGCGGUUUGUAGGGCUUUGUAAACGGGGAGGAAAGCUGUUUUGGCGAAUGGGGAGAGGGUUGGACGGUACGGGAAUAAAAAGCCACGGCUAACUACGUG
rnacentral:rRNA from 1 species